UCCCUGGUAGUAUAUCGGUUAGUACACGCGCUUGUCAUGAUCAAGGGGAUGGGACUGUACGCGCGAAAGCUGGGUUCGACUCCCAGCCAGGGAG